GAAAUAUCACCCCUUCCUUUUCUUAAGGAGGCGCUACCACCAGUUCAUGGCCGGGGGUGUAUGUCCGUGGUGGUGGUGUUGUCAGGAGUACGCCCCGUUGCGCAGACGUAAGUUCUGCGGCGGGUGCUCACGGGUGGAAUAUCAACGGAUAGCGGCCCGCAGGGUUUUGUUCCUGCCUGGUACUGAUGGUCUCUUCGGGGGUUGUCGUGGAACGGCGGGGGCGGGGUUUGUGUGGUUUAGUGUUUGGCACACUGUUGGGUCCUGAGGCAACAGGACCGGGAGGGUUUUUUGUUCCCGGGGCUUGUUUGUUUCUGGUUUCCCGGCUGCAGCGAGCGUGCACGGUUUGCUUUGUCCUUUUUGUGGGGGCGGGGUGGUGUGCGGGGUGUGUGGUACGGGGUUGUUGUUUGAGAACUACAUAGUGGACGCGAGCAUCUUUUAUAAGAAGCAAUUUCCAAGAAUAUGAACCUGGAUCCGGUUCUGUGCCCUUCGGGGUGCGGGGUUGGUUUCUGUGGUUCUCUCGAAAAUUAGCGUUUUUGAUCUUUUGUGGUCAAGUUUUUAAGAGCACACGGUGGAUGCCUUGGCAUUAGGAGCCGAAGAAGGACGUAGGAAUCUGCGAUAAGCCUGGGGGAGUCGAUAACCGGACGUUGAUCCCAGGGUGUCCGAAUGGGGAAACCCCGCCAGGGACGCGAGUUGCCUGGUGACCCGCAUCUGAACACAUAGGGUGCGUGGAGGGAACGCGGGGAAGUGAAACAUCUCAGUACCCGCAGGAAGAGAAAACAAUAGUGAUUCCGUUAGUAGUGGCGAGCGAACGCGGAUCAGGCUAAACCGUUCCAUGUGUGAUAGCCGGCGGGCGUUGCAUGGGCGGGGUUGUGGGACUUUCCGUUCUGUCUCUGCCGGGACAGUGGGGUGUGUUGCAUGGGCAUAGGUGAACGGUCUUGAAAGGCCGGCCAGAGAGGGUGUGAGCCCCGUAACCGAAAUGUUGUCAUGCCGCCCGGGAGGUAUCCCAAGUAGCACGGGGCCCGAGAAAUCCCGUGUGAAUCUGUCAGGACCACCUGAUAAGCCUAAAUACUCCCUAAUGACCGAUAGCGGACCAGUACCGU
rnacentral:sRNA from 2 species